rnacentral:rRNA from 1 species
UACAGAGGUCUCAAGCGUUGUUCGGAUUCAUUGGGCGUAAAGGGCGCGUAGGCGGCGGGGUAAGUCGGGUGUGAAAUCUCAGAGCUCAACUCUGAAACUGCACUCGAUACUGCUCUGCUUGAGGACUGGAGAGGAGACUGGAGUUCACGGUGUAGCAGUGAAAUGCGUAGAUAUCGUGAGGAAGACCAGUGGCGAAGGCGGGUCUCUGGACAGUUCCUGACGCUGAGGCGCGAAGGCCAGGGGAGCAAACGGG